rnacentral:lncRNA from 1 species
CACGAAAUGAAGCUCGAACGAGCACAGCCAAAGAACGGCCGUUUCUGUCCUUUCUUCUUAAUCCCUUUGGCUUAGGGUUUCCCGGCCUGGACAGCCUGCCCAAGGGCACAUGGGCAUCCGUCCGGGGACAUUCAGGCAGUGACCAAUCCCAGGCCACCCAGGCUGCGCCCUGCGUCGUGGGCCAUUUCCCAGCCGGCCAGAGAUGGAGCAGCCACUGCGGGUCCCCGAGUCUCGGUGAGACAGUCAAGGAUGGACCUUGGAUGGAGACCGGCGUGCGGCCAUGUCCGUGGGUGAAGGAGGCGUGCAGGCCGUGCUGGGGGACAUGGUUGCUGUCCCCUCGGCCAAACCAUGAAAAGCAGCCCUCUCCCCCAACCCCCAGCACCAACCCGGAGACCACCCUCGGCCGGAGCCCAGCACGGCCACCGUCACGUCUCGGUCGUCCAGCUUGGGACAGGUCAGUUCCCAGACGUCCAGGCUGGAGCUGGUCCUUGAAGAUCCUGGGGGUCCAGCCCGGCACAGGAGGGCCAGCCCCCCAGGAGAAGAGGUGCUGAACUGGGUCCCCUGGAGGCUCCUGAGCCCCAGAACAGUGCCCUCUGAGCAGACGGGCACUCUCAGACCAGCUCCCGCUGGACAAGUCAGCUCCUGCCUGCCGCCUGAUGGGCCCUUGGGAGAAGCAGACAUGGUGAGGAAAAGGUCCCUGUGCCCUUCACCCUAAUUCCCCAGCCCCAAGUCCCACUGGGUUGCCAGCUUCAACCUAAGCAAAUAAUUCGUGCCCUCUAAACAAACGCGCGGGAAUCCCACCUGCCCUUCCCCCGCCC